rnacentral:rRNA from 1 species
GACGAACGCUGGCGGCGUGCUUAACACAUGCAAGUCGAACGGAAAGGCCCUGCUUGCAGGGUACUCGAGUGGCGAACGGGUGAGUAACACGUGGGUGAUCUGCCCUUCACUUCUGGAUAAGCUUUGGAAACUGGGUCUAAUACCGGAUAGGACCGCACUUUAUUUUUUGUGUUGGAAAGUUUUUUCGGUGUUGGAUGAGCUCGCGGCCUAUCUGCUUGUUUGUGGGGUAAUGGCCUACCAAGGCGGCGACGGGUAGCCGGCCUGCGAGGGUGUACGGCCACAUUGGGACUGAGAUACGGCCCAGACUCCUACGGGAGGAAGCAGUGGGGAAUAUUGCACAAUGGGAGCAAGCCUGAUGCAGCGACGCCGCGUGGGGGAUGAAGGCCUUAGGGUUGUAAACUCCUUUCGCUAGGGACGAAGCUUUUUGUGACGGUACCUAGAUAAGAAGCACCGGCUAACUACGUG